UAUGUUUGAUGCCGUUGACUUUUUAUCACAUGUUUGACCGUUCGUCUUAUUCAAAAAAUUUAAGUAAUUAUUAAUUCUUUUCCUAUCAUUUGAUUCAUUGUUAAAUAUAUUUUUAUGUAGGCAUAUAAUUUUACAUAUCUCACAAAAGUUUUUGAAUAAGACGAACGGUCAAACAUGUGCUAAAAAGUCAACGGUGUUAAA
rfam:Oryza sativa Japonica Group DNA, chromosome 1, cultivar: Nipponbare, complete sequence.